UGUGCGAGCCGGGCCCCUCUGACGGAUGAUGUAUCAGAUACAUCUGCCGUGAUGUCGGAUCGCUCCC
rfam:Dinoroseobacter shibae DFL 12 plasmid pDSHI01, complete sequence.